rnacentral:misc_RNA from 1 species
UACUAGAGAAAUUUCUUGCAUUUGUAGAGCAUGCACUGCUUGAAAAGGUCUAACACUCUUGACUUCCAUGCCAUUACUAUCCCAGAAAUGUCAGAAAAGAGCUUAAUCCAGAGAACUUUGCGUCUUUGGCCUAUUAAUUAGUAAUCAAUAUGAUGCUUUAUUCCUUCUUAAAUGGACAUAGAAUUAUUUCAUGGUAUUUUUUUUCAUAGGAACUUAUAAUGCUCUUGUAAAUAGAUUAGUCUGAUAUAUUAUGCUAGGGCUGCUCACAAGUUCAAGUCAAACAAUCAUUUUAAUUGAUACAUCAUAAGGGCAGCAGAAAAAUGUCAAGAGCUACCUUGAAUGGCAGCCAGAGGAUAGAAGUCACUUGAAAAUUGAAAUAUGAGAAUAUAAGAUGAAAUAUUUGAUUUUCUGAUAAUUUCAUUCAUAAGUAAUAGCUAUGUCUUCAAACUUCUUAUGGAUGAAUCUACUAGAAUACCCUCUGAAGUUUGGGGUGCUUUAUAAUGUAGAAUUGAUAGGACUUAGUAGAAAGUAGUAUAAGGUUUCGGGAUAGGCUUAUGGUUGACUGAAUAUGAUGAGGAUGAUUAGUUAGAAAUGAAGGAAUUCAUGAUGAAGUAUAAACAAUAAAUCUGCCAAUCUCAAUUAAAAUCACGGCAUCCUGGAGAGAUUAUUAUCAUAGGUUCUUCUGGAAGUGUGUAUGUCUAUUACUGUGUUAUGAAUUGAAGUAAUCUCCAUUUAGAAUUUAAGAAACUCAUAAUAUUGCAGAAUGUUUACUGAUUACUUUUAAAGUUGCUUCUGUAGUAGUUCAAUGUUAAAAGCAUUUGCACCCUGCUUAAUUAACUAUAUGGAAAGCUGUAAACCAAAUAACUUCAACACAUAUUUUCAGUUUGGAAAUGGUUUUAUUCUUUUAAAUACUUUUAGUUAAUUCUUUUAAAUACUUCAACGCAUAUUUUGUUCUGAAUUAGUUAUUGAGAUGUUCUGGCAUUCUCAAUUGAAAUCCUCCCCCCACCCCCCAUUUUUUUCUUUUAUGACCAAGGGGACAUUAUAUCUGUUAGUACCUUAUAGAUCUUAUAUGUGUUUGCAUUUAUUUCCUUAUUAAUAUUUUCUACAGAUCCACGGUGAAACAAGGUCUGGCAAAGAAAAGCAGAUGCUUACACUGGU